UGGGGAAUUUUGCACAAUGGGGGAAACCCUGAUGCAGCGACGCCGCGUGAUUUAGAAGGCCUUCGGGUUGUAAAAAUCUUUUCUAUGGGAAGAAAAUGACAGUACCAUAGGAAUAAGGACCGGCUAAUUACGUGCCAGCAGCCGCGGUAAUACGUAAGGUCCGAGCGUUGUCCGGACUCAUUGGGCGUAAAGGGUACGUAGGCGGGUAAGCAAGUUAGAAGUGAAAUCCUAUAGCUCAACUAUAGUAAGCUUUUAAAACUGCUCAUCUUGAGGUAUGGAAGGGAAAGUGGAAUUCCUAGUGUAGCGGUGAAAUGCGCAGAUAUUAGGAGGAAUACCGGUGGCGAAGGCGACUUUCUGGCCAUAACCUGACGCUGAGGUACGAAAGCGUGGGUAGCAAACAGG
rnacentral:rRNA from 1 species